UGCGAACGCUAGCGGCGAGCUUAACACAUGCAAGUCGAGCGGAGGGUUUCGGCCCUCAGCGGCGGACGGGUGAGUAACACGUAGGUUACGUGCCCUUUGGUGGGGAAUAACUUAGGGAAACCUGAGCUAAUACCGCAUAUGCCCUCGGGUGAAGUCUUCGGACGCCAGAGGAUCGGCCUGCGGCCCAUUAUUUAAUCCUUGUUGGUGGGGUAACGGCCUACCAAGGGUACGAUGGGUAGCUGGUCUGAGAGGAUGAUCAGCCACACUGGGACUGAGACACGGCCCAGACUCCUACGGGAGGCAGCAGUGGGGAAUAUUGGAC
rnacentral:rRNA from 1 species